GAUGAACGCUAGCGGCAGGCCUAAUACAUGCAAGUCGAACGAGAAGCCCUUCGGGGUGGAAAGUGGCGCACGGGUGCGUAACGCGUAUGCAACUUACCUCUUACUGGGGAAUAACUUCGCGAAAGUGGAGCUAACACCGCAUAAUAAACGCUGGGGCAUCCCAAUGUUUUAAAAGGUUACGGUAGGAGAUGGGCAUGCGUCCCAUUAGCUAGUUGGUAGGGUAAUGGCUUACCAAGGCGACGAUGGGUAGGGGAACUGAGAGGUUGAUCCCCCACACUGGUACUGAGAUACGGACCAGACUCCUACGGGAGGCAGCAGUAAGGAAUAUUGGUCAAUGGACGAGAGUCUGAACCAGCCAUGCCGCGUGCAGGAAGAAGGCGUUACGCGUCGUA
rnacentral:rRNA from 1 species